ensembl:lncRNA
GUAAACAGCUCUCUCUCUCUCUCUCUCUCUCUCUCUCUCUCUCUCUCUCUCUCUGUGUGUGUGUGUGUGUGUGUGUGUGUGUGUGUGUGUGUGUGUGUGUAUGUGCAGAACUGAGCAAGAGUAAUGAGGAGUUGCUUAAAGGUUAGCAAAGGUAUUCUCUAAUUCCCAGUACCCUUGACUCCUAGCCCAUGACUCACAACAGCCUAACUCACAGCCCCUGACUCAGAGCCCGCCUGACUCACAGCUCCCCUUGACUCACGGCCCCCAACUCACAUACUCCAGACUCACAGCCCCUCUGAUUCCCAGACUGUAUUCUGUCUGUUUAAUGGACCCUCCCUGGGCUCAGUUCUGUGUGGGCUUCAAGUAAAUACCACCUGCUUCUCAGCUGCGGCUGGCGCAAAUAGCAUAUAUGGAAGGGGAUCUGAAUAGCUUUCCUGUCCCCGAGUGGAGGAAAAUUGCAGCUCUCUCCAUGGUGAACGGAGAUGACAGAGAAUCACUGGGAAGUCUCAGGGACUGUCUGCCAUGCGGUUUGAAGAUGGAUGGCAAAUCAUCUACUCCACCCUUAAUGGCCUGUGCUGUGGAAGAUACUGCUAACUCAGCACAGCCAUGCUUCCUACAACUCAUAAUGUCCAUCAAGGUCACAAAGCUGGUCCAGUAUCAUGUUGCCAGGAGUGGUCGUCACCAAAUCCCGGCUCUAGUGAUCUGUCCGAGGACUUGGCAGAAGAGCUAUCCUUGUCAUCAUAUUUCCAUAUUGAAGUCCAAAUGACUCUGCUAUUGAUUAUUAAAUAGCACCACGUGCUGUAUUUUAAAACAAAACUAAUGUAAAAACAAGGGAAGGAGUUGAUGUCUCUCUGGUGAGCUGGGUGACAUACACCUAUAAUCCCAGGCACAUGGGAAGAUAGGACAGAAAGAUUUUGGUUUCAAUGCCAGUGCAUGUUACAUAGUAAGACUCUGUCUUAAAGAGGAAGAAGAAGGAAGAGGAGGAAGAAGUAGAAGAAGAGGAGGAGGAGAAGGAGAAAAAAAACCCAAACAAGCAACAACAACCAAAACCAUGGUGGUCAGCCAGAUGGUUCAUCGGAUUAAAGUACUUGCCGUACAAGCUGAGUUUUAUUCCCAGAAUCUACAUUAGAAAGCCAGAUGUGGUGGCACACAUCUGUAAUCCCAACAUUUCUAUGAUAUAACUGGGAGGUGGGACAGGAGAAUCUCCUGAAGACUCAUGGGCUGGCUAGCCUGGAGCAAGCAAUAGCAGAGACAAGAGAGGCCCUUCCUCAGCAAGGGAGAAGGAGAGGAUCACUCCAGAAAAAUUGCCCUGUGACCUCCACAGACACACUGUGACACACAUGCUCAUCCAGUCACACUCCCGCCCCACCCAUACCCACUCACUAAACUGAUUUUAAAAAUUAAAAAAGAGACAGAUCUUUUCCCUAGAUGGGCAAUCAUAUCAAAACACUUAAUGUACAGUUCUGUCAGUUUAUCCACAGAAAUUAAUUCUGCUUUCACAGG